GCAGGCGGCGGAAUCGCGCGACGUGUGGCAGCGGCUUUCGAAGGCCGUUCCGGCGGUGUUGGCGGCCGAGUCGAGUGGCGAUCGGCUCCUCUCGGCAAGGGCUCUCUUUUGGCAGCAGCGGCAACGCCUGUGGUGGCCGGAGACGGAAGAUCUGGUGGAGAGAGAAAGUAGGGGGCAGCCGCGUUUUUCAGCUUUUCUGGCGAGCUCCGGCCGAGGAUGGACGAUCGGAGGACGUAUCCCGACUCUCCUCAGCUCAAGCUUCGCAUUGACACCGGUUUCGUGGCGAUCGGGCUUCGUUUGC
rnacentral:lncRNA from 1 species